rnacentral:rRNA from 1 species
GACAGGAGGUGCAAACGUUGCUCGGAAUCACUGGGCGUAAAGGGCGUGUAGGCGGGUAGAUAAGUCGGGCGUGAAAUCCCUAGGCUCAACCUAGGAACUGCACUCGAAACUGUUUAUCUUGAGUGCCGGAGAGGAAAGCGGAAUUCCUGGUGUAGAGGUGAAAUUCGUAGAUAUUCGGAAGAACACCAGUGGCGAAGGCGGCUCACUGAGCUGGUAUUGACGCUGAGGUGCGAAAGCGUGGGGAGCAAACAGG